UACGUAGGGUGCGAGCGUUGUCCGGAUUUAUUGGGUUUAAAGGGUGCGUAGGCGGUUAAUUAAGUCAGUGGUGAAAUCCUGGAGCUCAACUUCAGAACUGCCAUUGAUACUGGUUGACUUGAGUACAGACGAGGUUGGCGGAAUUGAUGGUGUAGCGGUGAAAUGCAUAGAUACCAUCAAGAACACCGAUUGCGAAGGCAGCUAACUAGGCUGUAACUGACGCUGAGGCACGAAAGUGUGGGGAUCAAACAGG
rnacentral:rRNA from 1 species